ACAUAGAUGACUCUCGGCAACGGAUAUCUAGGCUCUUGCCACGAUGAAGAACGUAGCGAAAUGCGAUACUUGGUGUGAAUUGCAGAAUCCCGUGAACCAUCAAGUUUUUGAACGCAAGUUGCGCCCGAGGCCACCUGGCCAAGGGCACGCCUGCCUGGGCGUCACGC
rnacentral:rRNA from 1 species